UCCCUUAAAUACCCGUAGGCGGGGAAUUGGCCUUCUCUCGGCCUUAACGCCAUCUUCUUAGAAACCUCUGCGCCAUGAGAGCCAAGUGGAGGAAGAAACGAAUGCGCAGGCUGAAGCGCAAAAGAAGAAAGAUGAGGCAGAGGUCCAAGUAAACUGCUAGUUUGUGUACCCAUGGAAGCCACGGGAGCAGAAAUAAAGGAAGCCAGAGGCCAGGGACACUGGUACAAAUUGUUCGACUGCAUGCCUGCUAUCGAGAACUUGUCGAUGGAUGUGGAACAUACAAGUCUGAUCUCCGAGACCACCUUUUGAAAGAGACCCACGCUGCUCUUACAACAACAGUCCCUUUUGGUCCUUUUCCCUGGACCUGUGACAUUCUGGACUGGUUCUGUUAACAUUUGUGGCUGAAUGUGUACAAUAAAUCAUCUCUUCUUAGUUGAAGAAAACGA